CAUUGUAAGCUCAUCUUGUACAGACUCUUUGGAAGUAACUUUAGAGCAGAAAGCAUGAUAUGAACUGAAUUCUGCUAAUGAUUUUGAUUUUUUCUGCUAGGCCUCUAGAUUUGAAUAAUGAUGGUGGUGGUGACGAUGAUGAAGACAACGGUUGUGAUUUAAAGGAGUUAUCCCUCGUCUGAUAGGCAGUGCAGAAGAGAGAAUUUCUGAGGUUGAGGGGGUAAUCACUGAAGCCGUGCAAGGCAUGGGGGAGCAGGGCUGCUUACCUGGAUUCAUAGGAUAGGGGUAUCUAUACACAGUCACUUCCUUCUCUAACAGUGAACUUCACCCACGUCUGGAAAGCUGGAGGCUACAUGGAAGAGAUUCCAUGGUAUAUUAGUGAGGGGCAUUCUUCCAAAAACUACUGGCAGCACUUGUGGAGGUUCUCUCAUCCACCCUCAAUGGGUCCUGUCUGCUGCCCACUGCUUUGGCGUAUAUCUAGAAAACACUUCAAAUUUAAUGGUAAACCUAAAGACAAGUAUCUGCUUGUGGACAAGAUCGUGAUUCACCCAAACUUCAUACGUGGAAGCUUUGAUGCAAACAUUGCCCUGCUAAAACUGAAGACUCCUGUGGACUCUUCCAAAGAUAUCAGCAUCUUUUGCCUCCCUGCUGCCUCACAGAACUUUCCCUCACAAAUGGAGUGCUGGGUGACUGUUUGGAGGUCCUUUUGUAUUUAUUAUUCCACUGAAAAGGCUUCAUAUUUCUGUGAUGGAUGCCCUUAUUCGUGACCAAAUAUACCACAAGAGUUUGACCACUGCCCCACCCCAGAAAAUAUUCCUUAAUGACAUGCUAUGUACCAGCAGCUGGAGCUGAAGAUGGAAAUCCAUCCUUGUUAAUUCUGGUGGACCCUUGUUCUGUAAAGUCCAAAACUCUUGGCUUCAGACUGAGGUGAUAUCCAGGAAAAUUCAUGGACGUAAUAUCACCACUCUAGUCACUGCCUAUGUGGAUUGGAUCAAUAAAUAUAUUAAGUGAUGUUCUGGCCCAAUUCCUUCAUCUUCCACCCCAGAACCAGCACCUGUUCCAGUCCUGAGCCAAAGCCCUGUGGGGAAUUGAUAAAAUAUUUCUUCUACUUUUCCUUUCAUAUCCUUCCUUCAUUCCUCAUUCUAUGAUGCUGCACUUCACUCAGCCUUCUCCUAUAAAUGCCUCCUUUCCUGACUGACUGUAGGCUUCAUUUCUAUUCUCAAAGACCUAAAGGCUAUGUAUGAUGGAGGUCAGAGUCCUGGACUGGGAUUUAGAACCCUGAGGUUCUAAUAGGACAACCUGAGUGAACUUGAGCAUGCUGCUGGGUUUCAAAAUUUCCUGGACUCCUAGAACAUGGUAAGGAUGAUGGAGAAGAUCUGAGGCAAGAAGGAGAAAGAAAUUGAUACACGAUACCACUCAUAGCCUAAUUAAACCAUUUGCAAUUUUCUCUUGGUGUAGAAUCAAUGAUUUCUUUCCUCCUUUUGUUUGGGUGGGAAAUGAGAAGAAAGGAGCCAUCCCAAUACUCAAAACUAUUUGGAACUUUUGAAAACCUUACUCUACCUAUGUCUUCCAGCUUUAUGUCAUCUAAAAUUUUGUUAAUUGUGCCAUCUAUGGCUUUAUACAAAUCAUUGAUAAAGUAAUAAACAGUGCAAAGUCAAAUAAACAGCUCUGAGGCAUUCUCCUAUUACACAGACCUUGAGUCAUUUGACCUCAUAUCUCUUCAGAUCUUUUCUUUCUUUCAGGUGGUAUGUAGUGUACCCUAAUGACAAAAUCACUUAGUUUUCUCUCUUUAUUGAUUUUCUCCUAAAUACUUUUCACCAUGCUUUUCCCCUCUGCUACCUAGAUUUAAUGCAUCAGAGAAAGAGUGCUGAACCUUUGGCUUAAUUUGGAGUCAUGGGAACUAAACUCUGAGAUUUACUUCCCAUACUGAUAUUAAGCAAAUCAUAUCACCUCUUUUGGCCUAUUUUGUAAAAUGCGAGACUGUUUUGAUCAGUACCCUAGAAAUUUGUGUGUGAUAUUGGAGUGGAAUGAGAUAUUCUUAGAUGUUUUGAUAGUUGACAAAAUGAAGUUUAUUUAGCUAUUUCAGGAAAAGUAUUUUUUAGUAAAAACAGGCAUUGAAGACACAGUAAGUUGAAUUAAUUGAGAGAAAUUCUUUUGCUUGGAAUGCCCAUCAUUUCCCACUAGCCAAACAAUGGAGAAUUCAUGGAAUUCCUUGUAGCUAUUUUGUACUCAGGAAACUAGGAAAUGAUAUCAAAAGAAUAAACUUUUAGUCACCAGAGCCAACCAAAUCUUGAGAGUGGUCUCAAGAGAUGGAGAAAAAACAAAAAAAAAUUAAGAACAAUCCAAGAAAAAUGAGAUUUUGAAAAGAAAGUCAACUAACUAGAAAAGGAGAUCCAGAGUCAUAAAUAAGAAAAUGAUUCUUUGAAAAUUAAUAUUGCGCAAGGGAGAGUAAAUAAAGUUAUAAGAGACCAAGAUAUACUAAAACAAAAUACAAAGAAUGAAAAAAUAAAAGAGAAUGUGAGACAUCUUAUAAGACAAACAACAGAUUUGGAGAACAAGAAAAGAAAAUACAAGAAUAAUUGGAUUAUUUGAAAUUUAUAAUCAAAAAAGAACCUUGACACAAUAAUACAAGAAAUAAUUAAAGAAAAAUGUCCUGAAGUGAUAGGAUAAGGGGGAAAGGUAGAAGUAGAAAAAAUUAAUUGAUUACCAUCUGAAAGAGAUUCUACAAGGAAAAUAUAUAGGAACAUCAUUGCUGAAUUUCAAAACUGCCAGGUCAAGGAAAAUUUUUUACAAGCAACUGCAAUAAAAAUAAUUCAAAUUCAAAAUUAAUGGAGCUAUAAUUAGACUUGCAUAGCAUUUAUCAGCAGCUACAAUAAAAGACUGUAAAUCCUGGAAUACUAUAUGUUGACAAUCAAAAGAGCUAGGGUUGUUAUAAAAGUUGGAUAUAAUAGGGUAUUAUAUUCAGUUAAAUUAAGUAUAUAUUGAAUGAAAAAAGUGGACAUUCAAUGAACUGUCAUAUUUUCAGGAUUUUGUCACAAAAAAACCUGAACUCAAUAGAAAAGUUAACAUUAAGACUAAUUUCAGGGAACUAGGACAAACUGUUCUAUACAUGGAAAUAUAAACCAUAUGUCUAAGAUUGACAUUAGUAAUUUGGUAGUCCAGAAGAAAGACUGGGGGUAGAGCUGGGCAUGAUGUGAUUCUAAAAAACAAAAUGAUCUAGGAAAUGUUAAAAAUGAUAAUUAUGCUAUAUGAAUGAAGUGUGAGAACAAGAACUGACAUAGAGGAAUUAGAUGGAGGAGGAGGACUGGUAGUUCUAAAAACUUAAUAUG